UGGGGAAUAUUGGACAAUGGGGGCAACCCUGAUCCAGCCAUGCCGCGUGAGUGAUGAAGGCCUUCGGGUUGUAAAGCUCUUUUGGCGGGGACGAUGAUGACGGUACCCGCAGAAUAAGCCCCGGCUAACUUCGUGCCAGCAGCCGCGGUAAGACGAAGGGGGCUAGCGUUGUUCGGAAUUACUGGGCGUAAAGCGAGUGUAGGCGGUUGCCGUAGUCAGGUGUGAAAGCCUUGAGCUCAACUCAAGAAAUGCACUUGAUACUGGGUGACUAGAGGACCGGAGAGGAUAGUGGAAUUCCCAGUGUAGUGGUGAAAUACGUAGAGAUUGGGAAGAACACCAGUGGCGAAGGCGGCUAUCUGGACGGUUACUGACGCUAAGACUCGAAAGCGUGGGGAGCAAACAGGAUUAGAUACCCUGGUAGUCCACGCCGUAAACGAUGGGUGCUAGACGUUGGCGAGCUUGCUCGUCAGUGUCGCAGCUAACGCGUAAGCACCCCGCCUGGGGAGUACGGCCGCAAGGUUGAAANUCAAAGAAUUGCGGGGUCUAGCUGUUUCCU
rnacentral:rRNA from 1 species